GCGGAUGUGGCGAAAUUGGUAGACGCGCCAGACUUAGGAUCUGGUGACUUAUGUCGUGGGGGUUCAAGUCCCUUCAUCCGCACCA
rnacentral:tRNA from 1 species